rnacentral:lncRNA from 1 species
CCACAUCUCUUCUUGUUACUUGUUAAGCACCCUUAGUUAUUCCUCCCAAGUUAAAGGAACACUAAAAUUAGCAUCAUGGAUACGGGCGCACUACUAGUUUUUUUUUAAACAAAAGGCACACUUCUAGUUAAUUAGCACUAGCUGAACCAGAGCUGUAUUCUAUAUGUCAUGAUGAUGCAGGGUCGGGUGCACUACGGUGAUUGAUGAAGAAGCUGGAGGUGCGAUGGCCAACUUAAAGCUAUAAGAUGCGAGCAACUCGACGAGAUCAGGGAAAGCUCAAGAACGUGUGUGGUGAGCACAAACUGCUUGCUUCAAUUAAUUCAGGAAGCGGCAGCAGCAGCUAGCGGCAGUUCCUGGCCACACUUGUGUCUACGCCGGCGGGUUUCAACUAUUCCGACCUUGGAGACUGCUGCACCUCCCUAGUUGGUUUUACCUUACUCUGCUGCAUUCGUUUGUUUCACUAGGAACUCAUUUACUUUGUUUCGCUGAAAGUAAAAGGUGUGCAUAGCAUGCACGUCUGCUCUGCCAGUUCGACUGGAUGUAAAAGGUGUCUCUCGUCUCUGUGAGCGAGGCUGCCGACAGAUGUUAGGCAUUUGAGGCUGCCGACAGAUGUUAGGCAUUUAAGGCUCACCGCCAUCAGUCGUCAAACACCAGUGCUUGUGUCCUUUAGCUUGUGUAAUCAAGAAUGCAAUGCCUAUCUAGCUACUUUUGCCUCUGAUUUUGUGUUUGCAUUGGAAGGCAGCCAGGCUGUUGUUCUACAAGUACUACUCCUAGUCCUAUACUACUACAUGUAUCUAGGCCUUUCCCGCCCUUCGAGGGACAAGGAAGCCAUGUACUAAAACCACACGCUCAACGUAUGUCACGUCUUGGAACUUCUAUCUCUCUGCUUAGAUCCCUG